rnacentral:rRNA from 1 species
AUUGAACGCUGGCGGCAGGCCUAACACAUGCAAGUCGAACGAGUGGCGGACGGGUGAGUAAUGUCUGGGAAACUGCCUGAUGGAGGGGGAUAACUACUGGAAACGGUAGCUAAUACCGCAUACCAUCGGAUGUGCCCAGAUGGGAUUAGCUAGUAGGUGGGGUAACGGCUCACCCAGGCGACGAUCCCUAGCUGGUCUGAGAGGAUGACCAGCCACACUGGAACUGAGACCCGGUCCAGACUCCUACGGGAGGCAGCAGGGGGGAAUAAUGCACAAAGGGCGCAAACCUGAUGCAAGCAUGCCGCGUGGAUGAAGAAGGCCUUCGGGUUUUAAAGUACUUUCAACGGGGAGGCGUUACCCGCAGAAGAAGCACCGGCUAACUCCGUGCCAGCAGCCGCGGUAAUUC